UACGUAGGGGCCUAGCGUUGUCCGGAAUUAUUGGGCGUAAAGAGCUCGUAGGCGGUUCGGCAAGUCGGAUGUGAAAUCUCCACGCUUAACGUGGAGGGGCCAUUCGAAACUGCUGUGACUCGAGUCCGGUAGGGGAGUGUGGAAUUCCUAGUGUAGCGGUGAAAUGCGUAGAGAUUAGGAAGAACACCAGUGGCGAAGGCGAUUCUCUGGACCAUAACUGACGCUGAGGCAUGAAAGCGUGGGUAGCAAACAGG
rnacentral:rRNA from 1 species